rnacentral:rRNA from 1 species
UACAGAGGUCCCGAGCGUUGUUCGGAUUCAUUGGGCGUAAAGGGUGCGUAGGCGGUUUGCUAAGUUUGAUGUGAAAUCCCGGGGCUUAACCCCAGGACUGCAUUGAAUACUGGCGGACUAGAGUACUGGAGAGGAAACUGGAAUUUACGGUGUAGCAGUGAAAUGCGUAGAGAUCGUAAGGAAGACCAGUGGCGAAGGCGAAUCUCUGGACAGUUUACUGACACUGAGGCACGAAGGCCAGGGGAGCAAACGGG